GGGCUACAACGUUCUAUUCGCACAGUGAAAGCAGGAAUGAUGCAGGACGAAUGGCAGACUUUGAAACAGAAUCUGGUAACGCUGGAAGUGCUGCUUGGAGUGGAAGAGUGGAGACAUCAGUUGUUCAUCAGCCGGGUGAGUCGGUUCCCAACACCGUUGCCCCCACCUUUGCAAGCCCAAGGGUUUCCCCUGAGGUGGGCCACAGUACAGGUUUGGUUGGCACCAGGAGGGUGGCAGACGGUAGGCAUACGGCUAGACAAACGGCAGUGAGAUUGCACCACAAAUAAAGAUGGGAUUUGGGACUGUGGCUGACCAUACAGGGUUUGCCUGACUGCCUCCCAACUUUAACACACCACUACUCAAGCGGCACUACCCUGUUCGACAACGCUCCAUAAUUUCCCCUGACAGGUUACAGGAGCGUAGUGUGUCACCUCCCAGGAUAAUGUUAAGGUGACAUGGGGUGAGUCGAGAGGCAAGCAGCAGGGAGUAUGCAUAUAGGGAUGAUGCCGAGGGACCCCUCGGGGUGCUUUCCUCAUGGGUGGAUGUCCAACGCUGCACUGAGGAGUGUGAUGUCAGGUUCCAUAGGGACGCUGAUAGGUAUCGGUCUAGGAGAAGUCAUCGUAAGGGGAUGGACAGCGACGGCAGGGGGUCCCCUUCAGGAUAUGCAUGGUGGAGUAUUUCGGAUUCCCCUGUUAGGAUUUAGUACCGGAGGCAUAAUGGGUCUAGAUCUACUAGCGGGAGUUCUCCAGAGAUGGGCGCUCAUGGCCCUAUGGGUUAGGACGCCAGUGGGGGAUUAAGUCACGGUUCCCACUCAGGAGUAAGG